GUAAGACAGGAAGGGAGUGAGAUUAAGGUGAGAAGUGGGAGGGGAAGGAGGGAAACCGAGAGGAAUUGAGGGUGGGCUCGGCGUAUCUAGAGCAGUCCGCGGAGGACGCUGAGGCUCGCCGGGGAAGUGCUGUGCCCGAGGCGCCCCAAAGGUGGGCGGCGGUGCCAGCUCAGACCCACGCCUCUGUCCAAGUCCCGACUCCUGCGGACUCGGCUGCAGGCGGGCUCCAUGAGGGCGGGCAGCAGGGCUCAGACGAUCCGGCUCGGUUUGGUCAGCAGACCCCCGGUAACGCCCCGCACCGUCGGCGAUCCCUGCCCCCUUCCACUGCGCCCCCACAAGCCCCGAGCUCGCCAGUCCUUCCCCGCGGCGCUCCGCUCUGUGGCCCCCUCGCAUCCCACCGUGGGGGUGCAGCUCCCCUGGCACAGCCCGACGGUGGGAGAGGGCGGCCAGCUGGACUAAAAGCCCCGUCCCCGGGCGGGACCUUCCUCCCCGCACCCUGACGCGGAGGUUGGCCGGGGGCCUCUGCGUCCCUCUGCCCCGCGCCCUGGAUGGGGAGGGUCUGGGCUCCGCGCCGCGAGGCAGCGCGACGGCUGCGGGCGACUUGGCGUGCGGUGCUGAGGACCCUGGGGGAGUGUGCGCCGCGGGGACGCCGGGGACUCGGGGUCCUAGUGCCACCGGACGCAGCGGGAGUAGCGCAGGUCUGGGGGCGGGGUCUCUCGAGGCGCAGACAACAAGCUAGAUCCUGAGCCCUCUGCUUCAAAGCGGGUAGCGCCUUCGCCCACGCCUUCCCUCCCACCAUCCCUGCCUGGCUGCCACCCGGAAGUCCCCGUCCGCGCCCCGACAGCGCCGCCCUCCGGCUGGCUGCAGCGCGGGCCCUCGGUAGGGGGCGUUCCAAGGCCCCGCCUCCUCGUCACUGCCACGGAUGACGACGCCCCAGGCCCCCGGCCCCGCCUCCGCCUCUGCCUCCGCGGCCAGCACUGGGGAGCGUCCUGGCCUGCGCUUGCUCCCCAACCCCUCCUUGCCCCGCUCUGAGCCGGCGCGUCCUUGCUCCCCCACCACUCUUCUCUCUCGGGCCAGCCGAGCCCAAAAGGCCUCUCCUCUUCUGUUUUUCCAGUUCCCUCCUCAAUUUCACCUCCUCGGAGACCCUCCACCACCCAGAUCUUCAGCGAGCAAGUCACCUUUCCUUUAGAUAGACAGACAGGUUAGAGAUAGAUUAGAGAGAUUAGAUAGAGAUUAGACGGAUAGAUUAGAUAGACUGAUAAGAUGAAAGAUGUAGAUGGUAGAGAUUUGCAUACAUAUGGAUAGAUACAUAUGGAUAGAUCAUAGACAGAUGGAUGAUUGAUACGAUGUGGAUGAUAGAUGGUUGGAUAAAGAUGAUAGUUAUAGAUGAUAAAAAGGCAUAGAUGAUAGAUACAUAUAGAUGACAGAGAUAGAUAGAGAUGAUAUAUAACAUUGUAACACGUAUAGAUAGGCCACAGAUAGGUAGGCAGUGGGUAGAUAGGAGGUAGAUGGAUGGAUAUGCGUAUAGAUAUAGGUAUAUGUCCUGAAGGGACAACCCGGACCCCAGGCUGGCCAGGACAGUACCCAGGCUUUGGCAACCUCCUCAAUAGACACGAAGCUGCAGGUUUUCAGCUGCUUACGCCGGGCAAACUGUAAAGUGCUUUAAAUCCCUGGAACUAACCACAACGGCAGCUUAGCCUGGAAACUCAAGUGCUGGCUGCAGGCAGUUUGAGCGCAGCUCCAGGGCUGCAAGGUUGCCUGCAAGUAACACGACAUUUGUUCAUUCUUUCAAGCAUCUGCUGAGCCUGUUGCAGCUGCCUGUGGCUGGGUUCCGGCACUCAGAGACCCUGGGCCUGCUCGAGAGGGGCUGACAUUAUGCGACCUCAAGAAGCCCGGUUCAUACCCCUCCUUCCUGAUGAGACCUGGAGGUCUAAAUUGCUCCUGAGAUGAAUGCUGUGCACAGCUCCUCACCUGCAGAGAUAUUUGACAGGCAGCAUCCCAGCGCCUUCCUCCCCUGCACAAACUCAGGAAGGGAGCGAUGGCAAGAGAGGGAGGCCAGAUGACAGAUACCUCCACCACCGGGCCUCCAGGCUAGCACUUCCCUCCAUAAUAUGGGGGUCCCCAGGGAGAGGAGGACAAAGGACAUGAAGGCAAGAGCUGAAAACUACCAAAGAAGUUUUUGGUGUCCCCAGGAGAAACUACAGAUCUUCACCAAAGAUGAGUGAGGAGACUGUGAAUGGGCAGACACUUCACAUUCACCCAGGGAAGCCUCCAUCCCCUGGUAAAGACACAAGAACAGGGGAGCUGAACCCUUCGCCUCUGGACUUCGGGACCACCCAUUGUAACUAUUCUUCCUCCAUCCCACCUCUUCAGAGCUGUGACUGGCUGGAGGGAGGUGGGCUGCUGGGCUGCCUCCUCUGGGGAUGGAGACAGGGCAGCCUGGCCACAGGCACAGGAGGCAGGACUCAGGAACAGGCUGCUAGAACGCGCAGGUGACAUUCCAGCUGUACCCAGGCCCAGGUCUGGGCCCCAGUUUCCACCUAGAGGUGGUGUGAGCAGUGUGGCAGCUGGCUCUGACCGCCAAGACAUGGUGAGCUGAGGCUGCAGGGCCGUAACCCUGGCAGGCCCCAGCCACACCUGCAGACACAGCCCUCAGAGGCAGAGGCUAACACGGUUAAUUGGUUCCAACCUUCAGCUAAAAGUAGGAGCAUUGAUCAGGCACCCGUGAGGCUCAGAAGCUGUGGCCUCUGAGGAUGCUGUACUUCCGUGUAAGCUCAAACCCAGAAAAGAGAAAUCCGAUCAGAGGUUGUGGUGCUCACUUCCCAGCCGGGCCAGAGUGGGGCAGAGAGGCGGCAGGCUAUAAAUAGUGGAGGAACCGCCACUGAUAAUCCACUGGAGAGAAGGGAUAGGGCACUCUUCCCCCAGGAAGGAAUGGCAGGCCUCUCCAAGGAACAGCGGGACCUGUCAGAGCAGAGGACAGGAGAUGGUGGCCUCAUCCCCACCCACCCAAGGCCCAGUCCCCUUUCCCUGUCUGUGAAGUGCUUGCUUCUGCCCUGACUCCGUGGAGCAUGGGGACUUACAGGGCAGGCAUAGGAUGAGGGGACUUCAAAUAAUGGUCUUGGGAGUUGAGUUCAGGCUCUCAGUGGAGCCAGGGCUUGGCCAGAGUUCAUAUGAUUUCAGUGUAGGAAGCCGACACCGUCUGUGCAUCCCGACACGGAAGCACAAGUCCACUCUCCUGUCACUCAGCCAUCCCUCCAGAAAUGCAUCCAUCCAUCCAUCCAUCCAAAUAUCUAGUCAUUCAGUAAUUCAUUUGACAAAUAAGAAUUGAGUCCCAAUGAUGUGGCAAGCCCUGUGCUAAGUUCCUUGUGACCUCACCUGUAAACGGUGCUGCUUCUCCCCGUCCUUCUUAGGGUGCUUGUAAGAACCCAUCGAGGAAAGAAAUGUGCUUGCAGCCUGGGAAGUAUCACACAUGUAUCGGUGAGUUGGGGCUUUGACAGAGAGAAGCCUUUGGGUGCUUCCAAGAAGGGAACACCCCAGCCCCUAAGAGCUUCCUUUCCCUCCUUUGGUCCUCAAAAUCUCAGCCAAGGAGGCCUUGAUUGGCAUUCAUGGGCUAUGGCUUUUCAGGUCAACUUUGAACUCUUACGCCUUUUUCCUAAUAUGAGGGUCUAGAAUGUAAAUUUUGAGAUCCUUACUGAAGUAUGCUUCCCCCUAAACUUGCUGUGUGCACUUGGGCAGGCCAGGUGACCUCUCUGUGCAACAGUUUCAUCCACUGUAAAAUGGCAGUGACAUGAGUAACUAUCUCUUAGGGCUGUUGUGAUGAUCAGAGAGUCAGUAUAUGUGAAUUGCUUAGCAUAGUGGCUGGCACAGAGUAGGUACUAUCUAAGGGUGAGCUACUUGUGGAGAUGAUGCAAUCUGGCCCUGGGAAAUGGGGGUUCAGGCUCACCUUUUACAAAGGGACCCUAGGGGGUCCUAUGAGGCAAAUGCUUCUGGCUUUAAGAUACGUCAAGCCUUAGUCUCCUCAGAUUUUAAACCAUCUCCAUAAAACAGCUGUCCUAGGAAGGAAUCUUGGGCUUCUCUCAGAGUCUCAGACCAGAAACUCUGUGUCCUAAGACACUGCAGCCUCUUACAGGAAGGCACUGCAGGUCUCACAGGGAGAGGAAGAGUUAUACAGAACCCUGUCUUCCCUCUUCCUACACUCAUGUGGGUAAAAAGCUUAGAUUUUUCUUGCACUUGGAGUAGAACAAGGGGUACAGCUAAAGUGAUGGACUGCUGAGAGUUUCUAGCUGCUGCUGGAUUCCAUAAGUUCCAUCGGAUUAAGGAUGAGCUUAAUGUAUAAUGUAUAAACCCAUGGACAGAGACACUGCCUUGUUUAAGCAAUGGUUUACAUUCAUAACACAAAUAUAAAUGGAUAGUCAUUUCUUUCUUCAGGGCCCAGCACAAUUCAUUAGUAGCUUCUAGCCUUUUGUCCCUUUCAAGCAGAAAACAGACCCAGCUCAGAGAGCAGUGGCUGGGUCUGCUCAGGACCCAGGAGCCCAAAGCACACAGGAUCCCAAACGCUCCAGAGUCCAUAGAGACUUUGUUGUCAAGCACAUCAGAGAUCAUGACUGCUAUAUAUUCUUGGUGCUUCUUUUCAUCCAUUCAGAGUCUCAAAUGUUCUCUCUUCACUUUCCUGCUUCAUUCAACUAUGCUAAGACUGACAGCCUCCUGAGAUACUAACGUGAUAAGACACAAUCCCUGCCCUCAAGGAACUUUAGGGUAAGCCUGUCUCCCUGACCUUGGCUUCCUGAACUUAGCCUUGUUCCAUAUAAACCUUUUUCCUCCUUCCUACUUUCCUCCCACCAUCAUUGCUGGCUGGUACCAGCUGCUUACUUUGUGUUUCUAGUUGCAUUUCCUUAGCCUCUGUCUCCAGCUGAGCACUGGACUGCACACUGCAGAAAACAAAGGGGAAGAAACAAAGGCACUGGCCUGAAGGAGUUCAUGGCCCACUGGGGAGCUUUUUCAGAAAUAUAACCAAAGAAGCCCCUGCCCUGGAGAGCUUUCAGUCCACAGACAGUGCAUCCUAGAUAGAAAGGGGCCCUCUCUUAAAGAGGUCCAACCCUUCUCAUUCAUGUAACUAUGGCACAAAACAGUAGGUGCCAGUAGCACAAACAGUUCAGAGAAAGAUGCUGCAGAGUGCUGUUGCCUUAGCAUCCCUGGGAAAGGUGCAUGGGCUGUAACCAAGCCCCAUUGUUCCACCUGGGUGAUCAUGGCCAUUGCUAGGGGAGAGCAGAUUUACAUGUGGACACAGGUACUUAUGCUCUACCUGCAGCGACCCAAAACUCUCUUGCUGUUCAAACAUGUCCAAGCAGUCCCCCUGGGUCCAAGGCAGAGGGCCCACUCCAAGUGGGAGACCACAAAAUGACCUUAUACAAACACCAGAAAUUAGGUCUUAGACACAUGAAUGGGACAAAGACUAAGUGUCAAAAUCCCAAACUCAGUCAGCAGCCAAUGGGUGAAGCGGGCGGCAGGAGCAGAGGAGAAUGCAUGCGCUUCCUCCAGUGUCAUCUUUUUCCAUCCCUACGACCCACAGAAGGGUGACAUUAUUCCCCUUUUACAGAUGCAAACACUGAGGCCCAGAGAGGUUAUCUUGCGCAAGGCCCUGCAAUUAGUAAGUGGUAGAACCAAGACCCAAGCUUUUUAUUUUUAAAGCUGGGUCUUUUCAACUAUACCAUUCAGACUACAAAAGCAGAGAAAUAUUUUCCACUUUUUUAUUUGUUAUAAAUAUUUCAUUGAUCAACAUUUAGUUCCUCAGGCACCUGUGUAAGGUCCUCCACGUCCCAGGGCAGGAGGCCCGGGGCUCUAACUCAAGGCCGUGACCCACAGACACACAGGAAAGGCAGUCCCCUCCCUCCCUUCCUGGCCACAGCAGGGCUGGUGCUGCGGUGUCAGCGCUCCAAGGUAUCUGUCGAGGCAAUUUCAGCUCCAGUUUGCUCAAACUCCAGACCAAAGGCUCAGUCGCAGACUCUGAUGUGCCGAACAAAACCAGAGACAGGAACUCGUCUCAAUCACUGAGUCAGCUGGCGGUGAGAAAAUGGGCAGGUGGAAAGCUGGGGAGGGCCCUCCCUCCAUGUCCCCAUUUCCUAGACUGAGCUGGCCCUGCAUUUUCUGCACCCAGGGCUGCUCCCAGAGCAGGCACUAGAACCCUCUGCAGAUCCCAGACCCUGUUCUGCCCUGGAAGCAGUGAGGCACCUCACAGGCCCCCGAAGUCAUCUGAGGCUGGUGGCUGGAGUGCAGUGGCAUGAUCACAGCAAGAAAUCCUCUAACCUCAGCCUUCUGAGUAGCUGGAACUCUAGGCAGUGCCACCACACCCGACUAAUUUUAUUUUUUGUAGAGAUGGGGUCUGGCUGCAUUGCCCAGGCUGGUCUCAAACUCCUGGGCUCAAGGGAUCCUCCUUCCUCAACUUCCCAAAGUGCUGGCAUUACAGGUGUGAGCCACUGUGCCACCUGGGACUGCUUUCUAAAGAGAUUUUCUAUCUUAGAAUCUGUGGGGGCCACUUGAGGAGGAGCUGGUGAGAGGUGGCAUAAAGGUCUGGCCUGUUCCCCUUUAUUUAGGGUUGAGGAACCCCACAGCGAGGGACUGCUAACUCUGCCUUCAGCAUGUCUGGGAGCAGAGUCUUUCCCCUGGCUCCAUGAAGGCCUCCUGCGGAUCAUUUCUCACCUGCUGCGGAGCCACCUGCGGUGCUGACUGUCCCCUCCUGAACCCUGUGCCUCUCUAUGCCUGUCUUCAUUACCAGGGUACGAUGUCCUUCUCCAGCUAGGUGGAUUGGUUCCCAAAGACUCCGGAAUGAGGAACAUUUGCAGACAGCAAACUUAAAACCCUACGAGAAGAAUAGGGUGGGGGAAUUGUGGCUGCAGAUGAGCUUAGGAAGGUCCUUGGAUGUAUUUCUUCACAUGCGUCACAACACCACGCAGCCCUAUACCAAAGACAUGGCACAUCCCGAAGUCUUCCUCAAAGGUAAAUGACAAUCAAUUUCCAAUUUCCAUUAUUUGCUCCAGAGAGGUGGUUCAGGAAUUCCCUCGCCCUCAAGUUUAAAUGAGAUAUUAAUGAAUUAUUUUUGCCUUGUUGCAGACAACAUACCUGUUAGGAGGUGUGUGUGUGUGUGUGUGUGUGUGUGUGUGUGUGUGUGUGUGUGUGUGAUUCUCCAUCCAAGUGUUUACUUCCUUUCUCAUUUCAUGACUUUGGGUUAUUGACUCCUGUCCCUCCCCAACCUCUGCCCUCCCCAGUUGGGUGACCUGGGACCAACUCCCCAACCUCCACAUCUGUCUCCUUAUUAGUGAAAUGGAGCUAUGACAGAACCCAUGAUGUAGGGAUGCUCUAAGAUUUAAAUAAAGUAAUCCAGGUAAAAUGCCUAGUCAAUUGUCUGGCACCUAAUAAGCAUUCAGUCAGUGGUAGCCAUUACUUUCUUAUUAAUAAACUCAAAUAUCACAACCUACCAAGUGUCUGACUAUCCUCAGGGCUUGGCCUCUCCCAGACUUCAUCUGUCCCAUGCUGGCACUGUCAGAACUAUGCCCAUGAGGCCGAAUCACCCUGACUAUUUUGAGGCAACCUUGCUCCCACAUUUCCACCAUCUGUUGAAGGUAUUUCCUCUAUUGACCCCCAGGGAGGCCCAAGAGGGCCAAGUCACAGAUGGGAUGGGGAAGAGAAUCUAGAACUGAUCCCUCUUAAAGACAGUGCAGACUAGCAGACGGCUGCAAAACCUGGGUGUUGGGGCCCUGGGAACUUCCAGAAGUGGACCAUCCAUCCCUACUCCUCCCAGAGUUACACACACAUCCCAAGUUGAGACAGCACCUGUGACUGGCCUGGCCACACACUCACCAUUAGGUGGUCAAGACCGGCUCUCUAAAGUGGCUGCCUCAGGCCCUGUGGCUCCCAGUAACCAAAGUCCACAGGAGGGGUGGUGCAGUCUGAUUGAUCCAGGAAGUGAGCAGUGAUGGGAACAAGGGAUCCCCCCAUCUUUCUACGAGGCCUUGGAGCCGACUGGAGCAUGUCACAGAGGGGUGAGCAGGACUUAUUUCAUCAUAUGUUCAAAUGCUUGUGACAGACUUCCAGACACUUCUGUUCCUGCCUCUUCUCCCAAACACACACCCAUCCACAGGAACCCUGUACUCAUGUCCGCCAGAUUCAUGUCUACUCGAAUAAAAACUUCAAUUCAGUGGUUACGUUUGAUGUCCCUGUGCCUUUCAACACAUUUUUACAUAAUCUGACUUUAGAGCCUUUUCUUUAUAAUAUGCUUCCUUUCUAAGAGGAGCCGAUGCCUUUGGUUAAUGGAGUCUAUUCAAAAAAUACCUAUUGAAUACCUGCUAAGGCCUGCUGAAAGCCAGACACUUGGGGUGCAGGGAGGGGUUGCCAAUGGGAUAGAGGAAGCCAGAGACACAUACUUUCCCUCCAAGAAGCUUAGAGUGGGGGCGGCCUGGGGGAGAUGGAAAUUCACACAACUAAUGCCAGGCUUGGUAAGUACACGGAAAGAAGUGAACACAAAUUGCUUCAGGAACAAAAGCCUAAUUCCUGUGUUUGCAUGGGCCUCUGAUUUCAGGUUUGUGAAUUCAUGAGUUACGAUUUGUUAAUAUACAUCAUGGUGCAUGAAAUAAAGCUCUUGAUCUAAUAACACUAAUACACACCAAAUAGAGUGUGAGCUGGAUGAGUAAUUAGUGAAGCUCUGGGGUGUGACAUUAGCCCUGCUUGUGGAGGGAGGCGUAGCACUGCCUAUGUGUAUAUACAGCCAUGCCUCCAGUAUGGCAGCCACCAGGCACACGUGGCUACUGAGCACUUGAAAUGUGGCUGGUCCAAACUGAAAUGUGCUGUUAAAUACACAUGAGAUAUCAAAGACCAGAUAUCAAAGAAUCAGUACAAGAGAUUAAAACAGCUCAUGAAUACAUUUUGUACUGAUUACAUGUUUAAACAAUAAUAUCUUAUACAGUCAUGCACCAAUCAACAACGGGGAUACAUUCUGAGAAAUGUGUCGUUAGGCGAUUUCAUCAUUGUACGAGCAUCACAGAGUGAGUUACACAUGCCUAGAUGGUGUCGCCUACUACACACCUACGACACACCUAGAUGGUCUAGCCUACUACACACCUAGAUGGUCUAGCCUACUACACACUUAGAUGGUCUAGCCUACUACACACCUAGAUAGUCUAGCCUACUACACUCUUAAUGGUGUUGCCUACUACACACCUAGAUGGUCUAGCCUACUACACACCUAGAUGGUCUAGCCUACUAUACACUUAGAUAGUGUUGCCUACUACACACCUAAAUGGUCUGGCCUACUACACACUUAGAUGGUCUAGCCUACUACACACCUAGAUGGUCUAGCCUACUACACACUUAGAUAGUCUAGCCUACUACACACCUAGAUGGUCUAGCCUACUACACACCUAGAUGGUCUAGCCUACUACACACUUAGAUGGUCUAGCCUACUACACACCUAGAUGGUCUAGCCUACUAAACUCUUAAUGGCGUUGCCUACUACACACCUAGAUGGUCUAGCCUACUACACACUUAGAUGGUCUAGCCUACUACACACCUAGAUGGUCUAGCCUACUAAACUCUUAAUGGCGUUGCCUACUACACACCUAGAUGGUCUAGCCUACUACACACCUAGAUGGUCUAGCCUACUACACACUUAGAUGGUCUAGCCUACUACACAUCUAGAUAGCCUAACCUACUACACACCUAGAUGGUCUAGGCUACUACACCCUUAGAUGGUCUAGCCUACUACACACCUAGAUAGCCUAGCCUACUACACACCUAGAUGGUCUAGCCUGCUACACCCUUAGAUGGUCUAGCCUACUACACACCUAGAUAGUCUAGCCUACUACACACCUAGAUGGUCUAGCCUACUACACACUUCGAUGGUGUUGCCUACUACACACCUAGAUGGUCUAGCCUACUAUACACUUAGAUGCUGUUGCCUACUACACACCUAAAUGCUCUGGCCUACUACACACGUAGAUGGCGUUGCCUACCACACACCUAGGCUAUACGGCAUAGCCUGUUGCUCCUAGGCUACAAACCUGUACAGUACAAUACUGUACUGAAUACAGUAGGCAGUUGUAACACAGUGGUAAGUAUUUGUGAAUCUAAACAUAUUUAAACGUAGAAAAGGUACAAUAAAAUAUGGUAUUAUCAUCUUAUGGGACCAUCCUCAUAUAUGCAGUCCACCAUUGACUGAAAUGUUAUUAUGUGGCAUGUGACUAUGUAUAUUGGGUUAAAUAAAAUAUGUUAUAGAAUUAAAAUUAAUUUCAUCUUACUUCUUUUUACUUUUUUUGUUUUAUUGUAGCUACUGGAAAAUUUAAAACCCCAAAUGUGAUUCACAUUUAUGGUCCACCUUAUAUUCCUAUUGGCCAAUGCAGAUCUAGAGCAUUCAUAUUCGUUUCGUCAUUUAAUUCUCACCACCAUGCUACAAAGUAGGCAUUCACCCCCAUUUUACAGUCAAGCUAAUUGAGGCUCAGAGAAGUAGUAAAUUACUCCAAGUCACAUGACAUUAGGCUUCAGCAACUCACUUGAGCUGAUGACUAUCUUGGGCCAGUGGCUCAAGGCCUUGCAGCAAGAUGAAGGCCAAGACAACCACGUCUACUGGCAGUGUGGCCUGGGGCCAGUUAUUUGCUCCAUUACUUGUGGGUAAGAACAGAAGGAGAGUAGGUACUCCGUGUGUUCAACAAGUGAGGACGG
rnacentral:lncRNA from 1 species